AGGUGGAGUGGUUGGAGCUGUUUCAGUUGCAGCAGCAGCAGUCGGUCUGUUUCUGUUCUGGAAAAAGAAAAAAGGUAAGAAGAUGUUCUUCCUUCACUUUGAAAUUUAUUUCUUGUUUGUUGUUUGUGAUGAUGUUUUCUGAACAUUUCUCAGAUCAACAAGAAAACAACACAAGAACAUCAAGCAGUGAAGAAACAACAUGCAUUGAACUUGAAGAUAUAAAUGCAGGAACACACUGACGGCAAAACAAGAUUGAUGAGUUUGUUACAGAAAGACUGACGAGGAGCUUAAAUAUUGUGUUUUGGACACGAACACAUUGCUAUUUGUCAGAAGAAUUAUGUUUAAAAUAUUUAUAGUAUUUAUGUUAGAAGAAAUAUACUUAGGAUACUUAGAAUAGAAUACUUGCUUUUAGAUGAUCAUUAAUUUAUCAUUGAGUGACUGUGAAACAUGUGUGCCUUUUGAACCAUGACUCUGUAUAUAUUUUAAACCAUGAUUCUACGUGUGCUUUAUGGAAGAAACAUGUAAACACAGCACAUACCGAGAGGUGACCAGAACUAGGCCUUCUAGGUGAUGAAGAUAAAGAAAGUACACACAAAUACCACAUGUCUGCCUCUGAAGGUCUUUCUGUUAAUAUCUUACUGCUUGUGAAGAAGGUUUUUCCAUUGUCAUCUCAUGCUGAGUCAUGGUACCAUUCUCUGUGUUACAUUCCUGUCUGAAGCAAAUAAAAAGACGCAGUGGAGACACAGGCUCUUUGGAGUUGGGUGGCUGAUGCUACAGCCCGUCUCUCUCUCCUCUUGCGGCAAGUAAAAUACAA